rnacentral:tRNA from 1 species
GAGGGUAUAGCUCAAGUGGUAGAGCGCAUGUUGAGCAUGCACAAGGUCCUGGGUUCAAUCCCCACUACCUCCU